rnacentral:rRNA from 1 species
AUACGUAGGGGGCAAGCGUUAUCCGGAUUUACUGGGUGUAAAGGGAGCGUAGACGGCACAGCAGGUCUGAUGUGAAAACCCGCGGCUCAACUGCGGGAUUGCAUUGGAAACUGUUGAGCUUGAGUACUGGAGGGGCAGGCGGAAUUCCUGGUGUAGCGGUGGAAUGCGUAGAUAUCAGGAGGAACACCGGUGGCGAAGGCGGCCUGCUGGACAUUAACUGACGUUGAGGCUCGAAAGCGUGGGGAGCAAACAGGAUGAGAUCCCCUGGUAGUCCACGCCGUAAACGAUGAAUACUAGGUGCUGGGAGGCAAGGCCUCUCAGUGCCGCAGCCAACGCAAUAAGUAUUCCACCUGGGGAGUACGUUCGCAAGAAUGAAACUCAAAGGAAUUGACGGGG